rnacentral:snoRNA from 1 species
CUGCCAAUGAUGACAUGACCACUGCGCAAUCUGAGUUCUAAGAACCAGAUGAUGGAGAGUGCUGAAAACAGACUGAGGCUG